CCUACGGGAGGCAGCAGUGGGGGAUUUUGCACAAUGGGGGAAACCCUGAUGCAGCAACGCCGCGUGAGUGAAUAAGUAUUUCGGUAUGUAAAGCUCUAUCAGCAGGGAAGAGAAUGACGGUACCUGACUAAGAAGCCCCGGCUAACUCCGUGCCAGCAUCAGCGGUAAUACGUAGGGGGCGAGCGUAAUCCGGAUUUACUGGGGGGAAAGGGAGCGUAGACGGCUGUGCAAGUCGGAAGUGAAAGCCCGGGGCUUAACCCCGGAAUGGCUUUGGAAACUGUGAAGCUAGAGUGCUGGAGAGGUAAGCGGAAUUCCUAGUGUAGCGGUGAAAUGCGGAGAUAUUAGGAGGAACACCAGUGGCGAAGGCGGCUUACUGGACAGUAACUGACGUUGAGGCUCGAAAGCGUGGGGAGCAAACAGGAUUAGAUACCCUAGUAGUC
rnacentral:rRNA from 1 species